UACAGAGGUCUCAAGCGUUGUUCGGAUUCAUUGGGCGUAAAGGGUGCGUAGGUGGCGGGGCAAGUCAGGUGUGAAAUCUCGGGGCUCAACCUCGAAACUGCACUUGAUACUGCCUUGCUUGAGUAUUGGAGAGGAGAUUGGAAUUUACGGUGUAGCAGUGAAAUGCGUAGAUAUCGUAAGGAAGACCAGUGGCGAAGGCGGUCUGCUGGGCCGUUGCUGACGCUGAGGCGCGACAGCGUGGGGAGCAAACAGG
rnacentral:rRNA from 1 species